rnacentral:tRNA from 2 species
CCACUGGAUAGCUCAGUUGGUUAGAGCAGCAGAUGUGCAAUCUGUUAGUCGCGGGUUCGAAUCCCGCUCCAUGCA